GAUGAACGCUGGCGGCGUGCUUAACACAUGCAAGUCGAACGGAAAGGCUCCUGCUUGCAGGGGUACUCGAGUGGCGAACGGGUGAGUAACACGUGGGUGAUCUGCCCUGCACUUCGGGAUAAGCCUGGGAAACUGGGUCUAAUACCGGAUAGGACCACAUUUUGGAUGGUGUGGUGGAAAGUUUUUCGGUGUGGGAUGAGCUCGCGGCCUAUCAGCUUGUUGGUGGGGUAAUGGCCUACCAAGGCGUCGACGGGUAGCCGGCCUGAGAGGGUGUACGGCCACAUUGGGACUGAGAUACGGCCCAGACUCCUACGGGAGGCAGCAGUGGGGAAUAUUGCACAAUGGGCGCAAGCCUGAUGCAGCGACGACGCGUGGGGGAUGACGGCCUUCGGGUUGUAAACUCCUUUCGCUAGGGACGAAGCGUUUUUGUGACGGUACCUGGAGAAGAAGCACCGGCUAACUACGUG
rnacentral:rRNA from 1 species